rnacentral:rRNA from 1 species
GACGAACGCUGGCGGCGUGCUUAACACAUGCAAGUCGAACGGAAAGGCCCCUUUGGGGGUACUCGAGUGGCGAACGGGUGAGUAACACGUGAGUAACCUGCCCUUGACUUCGGGAUAACUUCAGGAAACUGGGGCUAAUACCGGAUAGGAAUCCUUGCUGCAUGGUGGGGGUUGGAAAGCUUCGGCGGUUUUGGAUGGACUCGCGGCUUAUCAGCUUGUUGGUGGGGUAGUGGCUUACCAAGGCUUUGACGGGUAGCCGGCCUGAGAGGGCGACCGGCCACAUUGGGACUGAGAUACGGCCCAGACUCCUACGGGAGGCAGCAGUGGGGAAUAUUGCACAAUAGGCGGAAGCCUGAUGCAGCAACGCCGCGUGCAGGAUGACGGCCUUCGGGUUGUAAACCGCUUUCAGCAGGGGCGAAGCUUGUGGUGACGGUACCUGCAGAAGAAGCACCGGCUAACUACGUG